rnacentral:misc_RNA from 1 species
GAUGAAGAACGUAGCGAAAUGCGUUAAGUAAUGUGAAUUGCAGAACUCAGUGAAUCAUCGAAUCUUUGAACGCACAUUGCGCCCGCCAGUAUUCUGGCGGGCAUGCCUGUUCGAGCGUCAUUUCAACCAUCAAGCCCCAGGCUUGUGUUGGGGACCUGCGGCUGCCGCAGGCCCUGAAAACCAGUGGCGGGCUCGCUGUCACACCGGGCGUAGUAGAUUUUAUCUCGCUCUGGGCGUGCUGCGGGUUCCGGCCGUUAAAAAACCCUUUUAACCCAAGGUUGACCUCGGAUCAGGUAGGAAUACCCGCUGAACUUAAGCAUAUCAAUAAGCGGAGGA